rnacentral:rRNA from 1 species
GAUGAACGCUGGCGGCGUGCCUAAUACAUGCAAGUAGAACGCUGAAGGAGGAGCUUGCUCUUCUGGAUGAGUUGCGAACGGGUGAGUAACGCGUAGGUAACCUGCCUGGUAGCGGGGGAUAACUAUUGGAAACGAUAGCUAAUACCGCAUGACAACAGUUAUUGCAUGAUAACUGUUUAAAAGGGGCAACUGCUCCACUACCAGAUGGACCUGCGUUGUAUUAGCUAGUUGGUGAGGUAACGGCUCACCAAGGCGACGAUACAUAGCAGACCUGAGAGGGUGAGCGGCCACACUGGGACUGUGACACGGCCCAGACUCCUGCGGGAAGCAGCAGUAGGGAAUCUUCGGCAAUGGACGGAAGUCUGACCGAGCAACGCCGCGUGAGUGAAGAAGGUUGUCGGGUCGGAAAGCUCUGUUGUAAGGGAAGAACGAGUGUGAGAGUGGAAAGUUCACACUGUGACGGUAUCUUACCAGAAAGGGACGGCUAACUACGUG